rnacentral:tRNA from 1 species
GGAGAGGUGCCGGAGCGGUUGAACGGGACGGUCUCGAAAACCGUUGAGUCCUUUGGGCUCCCAGGGUUCGAAUCCCUGCCUCUCCGCCG